GAUGAACGCUGGCGGCGUGCCUAAUACAUGCAAGUCGAGCGAACAGACGAGGAGCUUGCUCCUCUGACGUUAGCGGCGGACGGGUGAGUAACACGUGGAUAACCUACCUAUAAGACUGGGAUAACUUCGGGAAACCGGAGCUAAUACCGGAUAAUAUAUUGAACCGCAUGGUUCAAUAGUGAAAGACGGUUUUGCUGUCACUUAUAGAUGGAUCCGCGCCGCAUUAGCUAGUUGGUAAGGUAACGGCUUACCAAGGCGACGAUGCGUAGCCGACCUGAGAGGGUGAUAGGCCACACUGGAACUGAGACACGGUCCAGACGCCUACGGGAGGCAGCAGUAGGGAAUCUUCCGCAAUGGGCGAAAGCCUUACGGAGCAACGCCGCGUGAGUGAUGAAGGUCUUCGGAUCGUAAAACUCUGUUAUUAGGGAAGAACAAAUGUGUAAGUAACUAUGCACGUCUUGACGGUACCUAAUCAGAAAGCCACGGCUAACUACGUG
rnacentral:rRNA from 1 species